UACGUAGGGUGCAAGCGUUGAUCGGAAUUACUGGGCGUAAAGGGCGCGUAGGCGGCCACCGCAAGUCGACUGUGAAAUCUCCGGGCUUAACCCGGAAAGGUCAGCCGAUACUGCGGGGCUAGAGUGCAGAAGGGGCAACUGGAAUUCUCGGUGUAGCGGUGAAAUGCGUAGAUAUCGAGAGGAACACCUGCGGCGAAGGCGGGUUGCUGGGCUGACACUGACGCUGAGGCGCGAAAGCUAGGGGAGCGAACGGG
rnacentral:rRNA from 1 species